ACAAGGUGAGCUCUCCAAUUGUCGUACCUCCUCUCCCUCUCUCUCUCUCUCUCUCGGAUACACUCACACGCGCAGAGUGAGAAUGGAUGGUGGACUUCCCAUGCUGAAUUGUCUGCUGCAGCACACCUUGAGGAGCAUAUGUUCAUGUUCGUCGGAUCCUUCUGAUUCCUCCAAGUGGGUUUAUGCUGUUUUUUGGAGGAUCUUGCCUCGUAACUACCCUCCACCAAAGUGGGAGUUUGGAGGGGGUGCCAUUGACAGAACCAAAGGGAACAAAAGAAAUUGGAUUCUUGUUUGGGAAGACGGGUUCUGCGAUUUCUGCGAGUGCGAGAAGGUGGGAGGUGGAUACACGAAGGGAAGGUUUGGACCGGAGGUCUUCUUCAAAAUGUCUCAUGAGGUCUACAGUUAUGGCGAAGGAUUGGUUGGGAAAGUGGCAGCAGAUAACAGCCACAGAUGGGUGUGGAGAGACGCCGGCGAGAGUGAUCCGAACUUCAUCUCCUCCGGGAACAUGUCAAUUGAGCCUCAACCAAAGGCGUGGGAGGUUCAAUUCAAUACCGGCAUUCAGACAAUUGCCAUUAUUUCGGUACGAGAAGGCAUAGUUCAGCUUGGAUCAUUGGAUCAGAUAGCGGAAGAUCUUAAUUUGGUGAUCAGCAUACAGAGAAAAUUCAGCUAUCUCCAGAGCAUUCCCGGCGUUUUCGCGAUACAAAGGCCAUACCUACCUUUCCAAGAUCCCUACCUCCGCAAGUCCCAUAUCUCCAUCACCGAACACCACGAGACAUUUUACUUGGAGGAUGAGAAAUGCCAAUUCAUUGGCGCCAAAAGGUUGUUCGAGGAAGCACCGGAUAGUUGGCCAGUCAAGUCGAUCAAUCUUGGUUGGAACACCCCGCAGUACGGUGUCCAAGGCCCAUCCAUGUGGCCAAUCCCGCCCCUUCUGUCAAAGCUACCUCCCAUGAUCCCGGCUUAUAACCCCAUCGAACCUCCCGAUCCAGCUAUCAGUGACAGGAACAGCAUCGGCAAUGGGUGCCAGACAGCAAAAACGCAUGAAAACCAAGUUCAGAUUGGUGAUGUGAAAGUGGAGCCUUCAUGUCACCUGGAUGCUAUUAGUGAAGAAAAGCCAACGUCCCCAAACUGUGAGUUCAACGUGAAAGACCAGGUACUUGUCGGACUAGGAUUUGAGCAUGUUAGGGAUGGAGAACAGUCGCCGAAUCUUAAUUAAUUAGGAAAGCCGAAACGCCACAUAAUUAUGAAGCAGACGUAGACAGAGCUCUUUCUGGCUCCGAGCGGCCGGUUGGUAGAACACCAGUAGUUAUGCAUCAGCCUGCGAAGCCAAAAUUAUGCUCCUGAUACGUACUGAAGGCUGCAUAUAUUAUGACAAACUUCGGAGCCUUAGCUCGAAUUUAGCAUCUAUUUGUUCUGGAUCACGGUCAGCUAAUCUCGCGGCAGAUCGUGCAGCAUCCUCCGUCCACAGUUGAAUCAAACAACUGGAUUGGCCCAAUUCCUUUUUGUUCCAUCCCUAUCGUUGUGGGAGUACAUGACCUCCACCAUUAUGUGAUGGUCCCCCUGAACAUACUGAUAGGAAAAGGACACAGCAAAUUGUUCAUUGGACGAAGUUGUGUGCAACAUUUGAGCACUUG